GAUGCAAUGAUGAGAUUAAAGUUUGGGAUGGGCAGUGGACGGAGCCUCAGCUUCGCCGUGAGCCUCUUCACCAAUAAAAACGACUUCUUCUUCCUCUGAGCACA